CCUUUUGGCGCCACCUUGCAGCCACCUGUUGUUUUAGUUUCAGCCUCACCUUCCACCGUCUCUCUCUCUCGCUAUUUCCACAUAUAUAUGUAUACCUCAUUCACUCCAUUAACUUCGAACUUAACGACUCCAGUGUUUGAUAGAAAUUAACAACUCUAUGGAAACAAACGUCCGCUGCUCACUCCACGACCUUCAUCCGUUCUCUUCAAAUUUGGGGUUUCGAGCUAAUAUAAACCCUAGUUCCACCUUUAAACCCUUUCGCUGUUCUCAUUUUCGACCGCUGAACAAAGCUGCAGGGGCGCCAUCAUCAAGAUUAUCCCUUUCAAAUUCGCUAACUAACAGCGACACUUCUACUAGUGCUGAAAGAGGUAGAAUGAUUGAGAGUGCAAGUUCUGUUAGUCCCCUUUAUGUUCCCACUCCUAGCAAUCGUCAGCUUCGAACUCCUCAUAGUGGGUACCAUUUUGAUGGGACUGCACGGAAAUUUUUUGAGGGUUGGUACUUCAGGGUCUCAAUUCCUGAAAGGAAACAGAGCUUUUGUUUCAUGUAUGCUGUAGAGAAUCCAGCAUUUCGUAGCAAAAUGACUCCUUUAGAAAUCGCACAGCAUGGACCUAGAUCAACUGGAGUUAUGGCCCAAAUUCUUGGUGCUGAUGAUAAGUAUAUAUGCCAAUGCUCCGAAGAAUCUCAAAACUUCUGGGGAAGUAGACAUGAACUAGUGUUGGGGAGUACUUUUGUACCUGAGAAAGGGAUGCAGCCUCCAACCAAGGAGGUUCCUCCUGAGGAGUUCAAUAAAAGAGUUUCAGAAGGUUUUCAAGUUACCCCACUUUGGCAUCAAGGUUUUAUUCGUGAUGAUGGCAGGUCAGAUUAUGUGGAAACUGUGAAAACUGCAAGUUGGGAGUACAGCACUCGUCCUAUUUAUGGAUGGGGUGAUGUUGAAUCCAAGCAAAAGUCCACUGCAGGCUGGCUUGCUGCAUUACCUGUAUUUGAACCCCACUGGCAAAUAUGCAUGGCAGGAGGACUUUCAACAGGCUGGAUAGAGUGGGAUGGUGAAAGAUAUGAAUUCCAAGAUGCACCUUCUUACUCGGAAAAGAACUGGGGUGGAGGCUUCCCAAGGAAAUGGUUUUGGGUUCAAUGUAAUGUCUUUGAAGGUGCAACUGGAGAAAUUGCUUUGACUGUAGGUGGUGGGCUGAGGCAAUUGCCUGGACUGACUGAGAACUUUGAAAAUGCUGCAUUGGUUGGAGUUCACUAUGAUGGAAAUUUUUAUGAAUUUGUCCCAUGGAAUGGUGUUGUAAAUUGGGAAGUUUCUCCAUGGGGUCACUGGUUUUUCACUGCAGAGAAUGAGACGCAUUUGGUUGAAUUGGAGGCAACAACAAAGGAUCCAGGAACGCCUUUGCUUGCUCCAACAGCAGAAGUUGGCCUUGCUCCAGCUUGCAGAGAUACUUGUUUUGCUGAUCUAAAAUUGCAAAUGUGGGAACGAAGAUAUGAUGGCUCUAAGGGGAAGUUAAUUUUGGAUGUUACAAGUGACAUGGCAGCAGUAGAAGUUGGAGGAGGACCGUGGUUUAACACCUGGAAAGGGAAGACAAGUACACCAGAGCUUCUCAGCCGUGCUCUUCAAGUUCCGGUAGAUAUGGAUGAGAUUUUGAGUUUUCUUCCACUAUUCAAACCCCCUGGCUUAUAGGCAGUUCUCUCUCUGGAAUUUCAACAUGAAGCAUAAAUGUGGCACGGUCUGCUCAUCAUCGAAGCACAGCCUAACUAGCUGACGCUUUCAGUGAACUGUGCAAUUUCCAUGCCCUGUCUGUAUCUUCUGGGGCAACCGGUUGAACUUGACUCGGUUUGAUAUACACUUCCAAGCAAAUACUAGGACGAGGUUGUCAUGAUGGCUUUCCUUAUUGGAAAUAGCCCUUUUUAAAAAAAAAAUAAAAAAAUAGAAAGUUUAGAAUGAUUUUAAUGUAAAAUUGGUUAUAAAUGUUAAUAUACUUUUUUUGUAAAAAGAAAUUAUAUAUUCUGAUUUGCGUG